rnacentral:rRNA from 2 species
AGCCUGCUCCGGUAGACUUGUGGUCGUCGUGACCGUGUGAUCACCGUGAGUGGUUGUGCUCUAGUGUCGUUGCCACUCGUGACGUACGUCAGGUGUGGCGUGCCAAGUUAGCACAACCCUCCGGGGCGGCAUGUCGCACGUGGUGYUACCCGUUCCCGACGGGUCGAAGGAGCCAGCGCGGCCUCGUGGCGUGUCGUCCCGAUAUUCGACAGUUACGUUCUGACCGAGCGUAGYUGAGUGGAAGGCGACGACGGAACACCGGGGCCAGGUUGGCGACGACCAUGCGUUAGUGCUCCUCAUGCCGUGACGGAGGCCAGCUGUUGUGCCUUGCUAGAGGCAACGGCGUAGCCGUGGGAGCCGUCCCGAACUUGGAUGCGCUAGCGACGUGGUUGGAGCAAGCA